UCCGGCGUGGUGUAACGGUUAACAUUUGGCUCUCUCAUUAGGGUGUUCAGCCAAGCUCGGGGUUCGAUUCCCCGCACCGGAA